CCAGCCACAACACACCAGAAGUACAUAUGGAUUGCUUGUGCAGCGUAGACGUAAUACGUUUUUGCCGGACUUUUGUUGUUCCUUCGUUUUAAGAGUAGCCCAGACAGGCUACCAUGGCCUCAAGAAUUUCCAAUCCCAUGUUUC